rnacentral:rRNA from 1 species
AUUGAACGCUGGCGGCAGGCCUAACACAUGCAAGUCGAGCGAGCGGCGCACGGGUGAGUAAAGUGUGUGGACUGCCCGAUAGAGGGGGGUAACUACUGGAGACGGUAGCUCAUACCCCAUACUAUCGGAUAACCCAUAUGGGAUUAGCUCGUAGGUGAGGUAAUGGCUCACCUAGGCGACGAUCCCUAGCUGGUCUGAGAGGAUGAUCAGCCACACUGGGACUGAGACACGGCCCAGACUCCUACGGAGGCAGCAGUGGGGAAUAUUGCACAAUGGGCGCAAGCCUGAUGCAGCCAUGCCGCGUGUAUGAAGAAGGCCUUAGGGUUGUAAAGUACUUUCAGUCGGGAGGCGUUACCGACAGAAGAAGCACAGGCUAACUCCGUGCCAGCAGCCGCGGUAAUAC